AUGCAAGGUCGAACGCUUUGUGGUUCAACUGAUUUGAAGAGCUUGCUCAGAUAUGACGAUGGACAUUGCAAAGAGUGGCGAACGGGUGAGUAACACGUGGGAAACCUACCUCUUAGCAGGGGAUAACAUUUGGAAACAGAUGCUAAUACCGUAUAACAAUGACAACCGCAUGGUUGUUAUUUAAAAGAUGGUUCUGCUAUCACUAAGAGAUGGUCCCGCGGUGCAUUAGCUAGUUGGUAAGGUAAUGGCUUACCAAGGCGAUGAUGCAUAGCCGAGUUGAGAGACUGAUCGGCCACAAUGGGACUGAGACACGGCCCAUACUCCUACGGGAGGCAGCAGUAGGGAAUCUUCCACAAUGGGCGAAAGCCUGAUGGAGCAACGCCGCGUGUGUGAUGAAGGGUUUCGGCUCGUAAAAYACUGUUGUAAGAGAAGAAUGACAUUGAGAGUAACUGUUCAAUGUGUGACGGUAUCUUACCAGAAAGGAACGGCUAAAUACGUGCCAGCAGCCGCGGUAAUACGUAUGUUCCAAGCGUUAUCCGGAUUUAUUGGGCGUAAAGCGAGCGCAGACGGUUAUUUAAGUCUGAAGUGAAAGCCCUCAGCUCACCUGAGGAUUGCUUUGGGAAACUGGAUGACUUGAGUGCAUUAGAAGAAGUGGAACUCCAUGUGUAGCGGUGAAAUGCCGUAGAUAUUUGGAAGGAGACACCAGUGGCGAAGCGCUUUCUGGACUGUAACUGACGUUGAGGCUCGAAAGUGUGGGUAGCAAACAGGAUUAGAUACCUGGUAGUCCACACCGUAAACGAUGAGUGCUAGGUGUUGAGGGUUUCCGCCCUUAAGUGCCGCAGCUAACGCAUUAAGCACUCCGCCUGGGGAGUACGACCGCAAGGUUGAAACUCAAAGGAAUUGACGGGGACCCGCACAAGCGGUGGAGCAUGUGGUUUAAUUCGAAGCAACGCGAAGAACCUUACCAGGUCUUGACAUCCCUUGACAACUCCAGAGAUGGAGCGUUCCCUUCGGGGACAAGGUGACAGGUGGUGCAUGGUUGUCGUCAGCUCGUGUCGUGAGAUGUUGGGUUAAGUCCCGCAACGAGCGCAACCCUUAUUACUAGUUGCCAGCAUUCAGUUGGGCACUCUAGUGAGACUGCCGGUGACAAACCGGAGGAAGGUGGGGAUGACGUCAAAUCAUCAUGCCCCUUAUGACCUGGGCUACACACGUGCUACAAUGGCGUAUACAACGAGUUGCCAACCCGCGAGGGUGAGCUAAUCUCUUAAAGUACGUCUCAGUUCGGAUUGUAGGCUGCAACUCGCCUACAUGAAGUCGGAAUCGCUAGUAAUCGCGGAUCAGCACGCCGCGGUGAAUACGUUCCCGGGUCUUGUACACACCGCCCGUCACACCAUGAGAGUUUGUAACACCCAAAGCCGGUGGGGUAACCUCGGAGCCAGCCGUCUAA
rnacentral:rRNA from 1 species